AAACAACCCAUGUAAUAUAAAUAAAAGGGAAAGGAUACAUAGUUGGCUUACAAUCGCCACUUCACACAAUUACAUGAAUAAAGCAUUACAUUCAUCCAAAUACACUCAAAGUCCGACUACGGAACCAAAAUGAAAGAAGACUACCCCAAAUGCUACACAGAUCCCCGAUUGACCCCAACUGGGCUCCACUACUGAUCAACUAGAACGAAACAACACAAAGGACAAGACCUUCAUUGACCUCCUCCUUGAGCUUGGUUGCGUCACCUGCACGGUUUCAUCGGCACCUGCAAACUGGUUUUUGAAGUAUCUGUGAGUCACGGGGACUCGGCAAUCUCACACGCUCGCGAUCAAGACUAUUUAAGCUUAUAUGUAAGGUAAAAAGGGUAUGAUGUGCAGCUGCAGCAAGCGACUAGCAUUUAUGGUGGCUACCAUAUUCGCAAAAGAGAGCGAGAAGAGAAGGCAAAAGCACGGUCGAGAAACUAUGAUCAAGAAGUGAUCCUAGAACAACCUACAUCAAGCAUAACUCCAACACCGUGUUCACUUCCCGGACUCCGCUGAGAAGAGACCAUCACAGUUACACGCACGGUUGAUGUAUUUUAGUUAAGGUCAACUUCAGGUUUUCUACAACCGGACAUUAACAAAUUCUCAUCUGCCCAUAACCGCGGGCACGGCUUUCGAAAGUUCAAAUCCCUGCAGGGGUGUCCCAACUUAGCCCAUCACAAGCUCUCACGAUCAACGAAGGAUAUUCCUUCUCCCAAGACAAUCCGAUCAGGCUCGGCAUUCAGGUUACAAGACAUCCUCGACAAUGGUAAAACAAGUCUAGCAACACCGCCCGAAUGUGCCGAUAAAUCCCGAUAGGAGCUGCACAUAUCUCGUUCUCAGGGCACACUCAGAUGAGACAUCCUACGAGUAAAACCAACCCCCAAGUUGCCCCGAGGUGGCCCCGCAGUCUACUCGGUCGGACCAACACUCAGAGGAGCACUGGCCCAGGGGGGUUUAAAUAAAGAUGACCCUUGAGUCUGCAGAACCCAAGGGAAAGAAAAGGCUAGGUGGCAAAUGGUAAAACCAAGGUUGGGCAUUGCUGGAGGAGUUUUAUUCAAGUCGAACUGUCAAGGGGUUCCCAUUAUAACCCAACCGCGUAAGGAACGCAAAAUCCGGGAACAUAACACCGAUAUGACGGAAACUAGGGCGGCAAGAGUGGAACAAAACACCAGGCAUAAGGCCGAGCCUUCCACCCUUUACCAAGUAUGUAGAUGCAUUAAUUAAAUAAGAGAUAUUGUGAUAUCCCAGCAAGUAAACAUGUUCCAACAAGGAACCACAUCUCCAUGUUCCAACAAGGAACAAACUUCAUCUUCACCUGCAACUAACAAUGCUAUAAGAGGGGCUGAGCAAAGCGGUAACAUAGCCAAUCAACGGUAUGCUAGGACAAAGUGGGUUAGAGGCUUGGUUCAACAAUAUGGGAGGCAUGAUAUAGCAAGUGGUGGGUAUCGCAGCAUAGGCAUAGCAAUAGAGCGAGCAACUAGCAAGCAAAGAUAGAAGUGAUUUCGAGGGUAUGGUCAUCUUGCCUGAAAUCCCGCACGGAAGAAGAACGAGUCCAUGAAGAAGACAAACGGACGUAGUCGAACGGGUCCUCACAAACGCGAUGUUAUCGGACCCAAGCCGAAGAAGCAACACCGGAAAGAAGCACACAACAUAGUAAACAAACAACACAUAAACAUGGCAUGAUGCACAACCAAGUAUGAUGCAUGUCUGGUUUAAUGAAGCGUGGCAUGGUCAAGUGCACAAAAAAUACUACAAAUUAAGUGAAGCUCAAUAUGCUAUGAGUUGCAUAUUGACGAAUCACCACAUGACUUAUUUAGUUCACUCUCGGUUAGGUACUCAACAAUAUUAAAUGUUGGUUAACAUGGCAAGAGGUGAAGCAUAACAAAACUAUAUCAUCUAAACAAUUUAAAUGGGGCCGGAUAUAACAAAUAACAAAUCCGGUAAGUCCCCAUAUGCAUUAGCAAUUUUAAUGCAACAACAAAUUUUAACCAUCUUAAAGUUGUUAACAUGAUGCGGAUGACAUGUUCAAGUUUAUGAAAUUUUAUUAAAAGUUGACAAGAGCAUUAAGAAGCAUUUGUCACCGUGGUGGAAAGGAAAAGGGUGCCACGGCAACGAUAACAAAACGGUGCCACGGCAACGUUCCGGUUCCGGUAACUCGAUUGAGGUAUCGAUGCAAAGGAGAAGUGUACGGAUACGUGCAAAAGAUGGUGGGGCGCUCCCGGAUACCGGGUGUCCCAUGAAUCGACGAUGGUGUCAAACGAGGGAACAACUAACGUUCACGGGCGGAUUACGACAACCCACAUGCAUUCGUUCACGGACGUCGUCUCGAGGUUAUACCUUUGAAGCGUGCAAGCAGGACAGUUCUCGUUCGGUGCAAAGUAGAGGAAGUAGACGUUCUCGUGACGGCAGUAGUGGAAGUAGUCGUUCUCGCACGCUCUAGGGUCGACGGUAGAGGUUCUCGCGAUCUCGGCGGCGGUAGUGGUACAUGUUUAUCGUUGCAUGAGUUUCCGUAGACGUUCAUGUCAUCGGUGUCGUGGUACUUGUGGUUUUCGGACUUUCCGGUCCCGUUCUUGCAACGGUAGUCAUUCAUGUUCGUUCAGAGAGGUACUUGAUGACUCCAACGUCUUCGGGGCGACGGUAGUUGUACAUGGUCCAUGAGACAUCGAUCGUUCGGGGUCCGACUUGCGGGUCUUGCCGACAUGAGUGGUACUUGGCGUUUCCGCGCCGUCGGUCUUGCCAGUCUCGGUCUCGACAAAGUAGUUGUACAAGUGCGCCAUUGGACUUGUCGAAUCUUAACUCUUCAAGGACCGUCGUGGUACUUGGCGCUUGCGGGGUGGUGUUUGUCAAAACCAGGGGAACUUGACAAAAUCUUCAACGAUGGGACUUGGCAAUAAUCUUUGUCCGGUAGUCGUCUGACUUGACAGCAAUGGCAACAGCAAGCGGAGGAGGUCCUGGGCUUCGGGCGCGUGAUGCCACAGGGAGGAGACGAGAACUAGGUGGCAUGUGGAGAGGGUCGUGGUCAGGCUCAACCACGUCGAGGAGGCCAUGGCGGAGCGAGUAGGAGGCGCUGGACAUGGGAACCCCCGCGCCCAGUGGGGCACACGAGAUGCAGGAGGCGAGGCAAGGCGAGCUCGGCGGCCUGGACUCGCCAGCCGGAGCGGCGGCGGGGCUUGCCAGCGCGGCAGCCAUGGGUGGCGCUGAGGUAGAAGAGGCCAUGGCACGCUAGAGGCGCGAAGGAGGCGACCGGAGAGGAUGUCCGGGAGCAGGGGCACGAGGCACGCGGCGCGAGGGCCCUGCUCCUCUGCAUAUGACGGCGCAGGAGAACGAAGGGGAGAGGGACGAGGCUGGCGGCGCUCCGGUGGCUUUGGUCGCCGGCGGGGGAGAAUCGAAGGGAGGCGGCAUGCGGUGGAUCGGGGAAAGGGAGCGAGGGCGUGAGGGAGCGAUGGGAUCGGGGGUUGCUGCGCGAGGGAGAUGGGUCUCGGCCCCUGGCGGCGCUGGUGGGAGCGAGAGGGGGGAGGAAUCAAUCGGGAUGGGAGUGCGCUAGGGUUAGGUGGCUGGGCUGUGGGAGGCCUUGGCCAAAUGGGCCGUAGGAGGCUGCGGGACCGGGCUGGCUGGAUUCAAUGUAAGAAGAGAAGAAAGAAAAAAAGAUCUCUCUCUUCUCUACUUUCCAUUACAGAGAUGAAAACAAGAAAGAAAGAAAAGAGAGAAAAGGAGAUGGAGUAUUUUGGAUCGUCCGAUCAAAAUUGGACGGUCGGAGAUGAAUGGGUUAGGGAGUCCAAACAAGGCAACGGUGAUGUUUUAUAGAUGUUUGGGGAUGUUCCGGAUCCAACGGUGACGACUGUCCGGGUCGGGUCCGGGACCGAUUUCGGACGCGCGUGGGAGGAGGGCCGCGGGCUGAUGAGAGAGGUUAGGUUGGGCCUGGCAGUAGGUAGUGGACUGUGCGGAAGGCCUCAGGCUGAGAAAAGAGAAGAGAGAAAGGCUCGGCGACUGUUUCCGGAGACCGAAAACGUCCGACGUUAGACCUACUAUAUUGUCGCUAUAGUUAUCCGUUGGGGCACCAAACGAUCUCCGAAUGCAAUGAAACUUGAUAGGCGGUCUAUCUACACUAUAAUAAGACCACACGUCAACUCUCAUCCCAUUCCGAGAACAUUUUCCGGACACUUAUAAAAUAAUAUUUCGGACAUGCCGCAGGCGCGUGCAAGGGUGUCUGGGCUCAGAACGGACAACGGAAGGAACUGGUAGAAACCGGGUGAAUGCAAGUUUCGAAAACAUGAUGAUGCAAUGCACAUGAUGACAUGACAAGAAAUGCAACACGCAAGCAAAUGACAAAGCAACAGCAGCAAAUAACUGGAGGACACCUGGCGCAAUGGUCUCGGGGCGUCACAACACUCCACCACUACGAGAGGAUCUCGUCCCGAGAUCUAGGAUGGCACCGGGGAAAAACAAAAGAGAAAGAGAAGAGGUAAAACUAAGUUGCUUCUUUGACAAACGAGUGAAACCAAAGAACCUUGCGAGGUAAGCCAUUCUGAGAAAAUAAUACAACGGAGAUGAACGAAGUUGACAAUCUCCUCCAGAAAAGAGGAAUAAGGAAGAACAAAUUCGGACAGCACUCUGAUUGAAAAGAAAAGGAAAUGAAUAAGAUCUUGGUAAGAUGAGAAGAUACUUGAUGAAAUCACAACAUACUGCCUCCAGAACUAUUGAAUGAAUGGAACAAGGGGUAAGAAAGAUCUCAGACAACACUCCGGUUGAAAAGAGAUGCAAGGCUUGAUAAGGCAAAAAGAACUUGAGUAGAAUGGCACCACACUCCGGUUAAAUGGAUAGGCAUGAAAAGAACAAGAUCUUUGACAAAAGCGAGAUGAUGAGUGAAAAGAACAGCAUCGCAAUGCCUCCGGAACGACUAUAAGAAUGGAUUCAAAAGAACGAAGAGGAAAACAACGUCUUUAGGAGAAGGGUCGAACGGAGUUGUUGGAAACCAACAACGAAAAGAGUAAGCUUGUUGUGGGCUUAUGGAAAACAUCUCAAAGCUGAGUUGAAAUUCUGCCACUGACGGAAACGAUAGAUUGGACUGAUAUCCACAAGGAGACGAGAAACUAUUUCACCGGGAGGAUAAAAGAACUUGAGUCAUUUAUGGGCACCAUAAUAGCAACAAUCCUUAGGGAAGGCUUUAGGUGAAAAUAUUACCCAAGAUAACUCCAACGAAGAGGUUGAUGGAUAUAAAAUACCUCAUUCUUGACAACAUGAGAAUCAUGAAACAUGAACUCAAAUUUUCAAGAAUGACAUAAUACCACCUCCAAUGAUACGGUAGAAAGAAUUGCACUCCGGAUAGCAAGAUGUAGAAUGCAUGAGCUCCUCUGAAAAGAAUCUCGAUGAACACUUCGAGAAGGAAUAUAAAUCCUUGAUGAACCAUCAUGUAGAACCUUCAAGAAGAACUCCGGUAAACAAAAAGAAUAACGAAAAUAAAGAGAAGUCGGAAACACAAGGUGAAACUUGUAAUGAUUUAGAUGGAUCUCCGUGAUAAUUAGAGCUUGGAACUCCGGGAAAGAAAGACGAGCACUUGAAACCAAGAAUUUAAUCACCGUGAACAAACUCCGAAAGAAAAGAUUAUCAUAUGGAUGAAACAAUAAUAAGAAUUACAUUAUGCUUAACCUUCACCAAUUUAAUUGAUGACAAGCAACGGGUUUGGCAUACUACUUAUUCUCGUAGAAAGGAUUAAGAUAGAUAUAGCGCAUACUUGAGAAUGUCUUCAACGAACCGCCGGUAGGAUUGGAACAUCGAAUAAAUUGAUAAAUAAGAGAACUCUUGAACAAACCACAGUUAGAAUUGAAAACGAACGAAGUAAAGAUAAAGGAACACCGGGAAGAAUUUGCAAAUGAACGAAGAUGCUUGAGUGAAUUUAGAUCCAUGAGAAUGAAGAGAUCAUGAGCUGAUAAGAGAAAAACGUGCACAAUGCACCGGUAAGAUUGGAGAAUGAUAACUGGAAGCUGAGAAUGAAUAAAACUGAAUUUAUGGACUCCGGAUAAACAAACUGAAAGAAUCUUGAAUUGCUCCGGAUAGGUGAAAAGAAUUCUGACAAUAGAAAACAAUUAUGAAAGGAUGCAGAAAGCUAGAACCAUGAUUCUUCAAGAGAACGGAUAUGAUUGCAGAGAAGCUCUUCUUCGGUCUUCAAAUGUUGAUAAUGAUGACGAGAACCACCACUGAGAAUUAUUGAGAUACUCUAGGAUAAAUAAGAAUGGAAAAGUUGAACCAACGAUGAAAGGAAUUUGAUAGAUCUUGGAGAAAGACAUUUGACUGAUGUUAAAUCAUUCUUACGUCAAACUUUGAAAAGAAUUUAGGAUAGCUCCGAGAAAAUAAGAAGAGUCAGGUAAGAUCCUGGGAAAAGACCUAUGGGUUAGGGCCCACUCAAGAGAAACACUGUUGAGAUGAUUUAAAGAGAGAGAUUGCAUCGGUUGAAUUAAAAGACUUGAAUGAGACAACAGCCUCGAGAUAUCUUGAGCACUCCGAAACAAUUGAAAAGCAAACGGGGAAUGAUUAUGAGGUGCACCGGCAUAAGAAGGUAUUUGCCCCGAAGAAAAAGGAUAAGAUGAACACCAAAAGCUUGAAUUGGUUCCACCGGGGAAGAAAAAGAACGAAUAAUGAUAACUUGAAGCUCCGUUAGUAUCUUCUUGAGAAUCACCGGAUAAGAACAUUGACGGAAAAGGAAUGGAGUGACUUCAAAAGAAUAAAAGGAUACUUGAUUAAGACAUCAGAUUCCUUGAAGAAAACAGGUGGGUGGGCGGGAAAACAAAGGCAACUUGGGGACGGAUGAAACAAACACCAUUGAGAAGAACUGAUACUUGAUCUUGCGGAUGUUGCAAUGAUCAGAUCCACUUGAUGAGAAGCACACCGGUUAAAAAGGAUUGACAUGACAAACUCGAUGAUCAAGAAGGAUUAGUAUUCUCAUAGGAACAUGAGAACACCGCUUAGAAAAGGUAUGGAAUCAACAUUUGACUUCGAAGCAACUCGAAUACCACAACUCAAAACAAAACAAGAAUUGGCUUGCAAAAUAAGCCGGAACAAACAUAUGAUAAAGAUUUCGUCUGAAGUUUUCGUGGUGGGGCCUACACGGGCUCGAUCGUACAGCACCAUCAUGUACAAGGCAGUGCACAUGACAUACGAAGCGUCCCCGAGUCGGCAUAGCCAAGGACUCUUUAAGACACAACGAGACCACUGUAAAACCAACCAUGGAUAGGCGGACCACUAGACGUCGAACCCCAAUAUCAUAUCAUACAUCUGCCGGAAAGAUAUCCUAAGAGCCACUUGAAUUCCCACUUAUAAACUCCCGAAAUUUUCUGGUUACGCAACCAGGUGUUGGGGAUACAGGGGAAGCAUAAUAUCUCACCCAAACUACCAAUUCCUACAUCCAGCUGUAUCCAUCCUUCAACACAUAACCAAGAAACCUUCGGAAAUCGUUUACCUCAACCUUCGAAAAGCAUCCGUUAUACGAGUUAUGGCAAUACUCCCGAACUCCCGCCCCAGUACUGGGUGGCGUCGAGGUUAUCUCGCAACAAGUGCAUAAAAGAGAUUUUCGAUAUCGGCGAAACUAAACUCAGGUAUUCUAGAACUGCAACGAUAAAAUUGUGACGACAACACCUCGGAUCUCAACUCCCCGGGACACUGCCACAACGCCUAAAUGACAGGAGGCACCAAGAACAAUGUUCUCGUCACAAAUCGAUCGGAAUGACUCCAAGAUACCCGCGUGAUCCUAAAUUGUUUUUAGUGAAAUUUGAGGAGAGAAUAGUCAAAACUCUAUGUCAGGAUGCCUCACCAGAGCGACGAAGGGACUGAGGAGUAAAAAGAAUUCCUAACUCUCCGAUAUAUAUAAUCCUAAAUGACUCAAAACACUUUUCUAGACUCAACAACGCCAGCGAUUCGAUCAAGCAGGGGGCUCCUAAAGUCGGGGAAGGCUCUGAUUGCCAACUUGUAACGCCCUCGAUGCGGCUAUAUCUCCUACGUGUCGAAGCAUGACUUAGAGGCAUAACCGCAUUGAAAGCAAUGUCGCAAGUGAGGUAAUCUUCGCAAACAACCCAUGUAAUAUAAAUAAAAGGGGAAAGGAUACAUAGUUGGCUUACAAUCGCCACUUCACAUAAUUACAUGAAUAAAGCAUUACAUUCAUCCAAAUACACUCAAGAUCCGACUACGGAACCAAAAUGAAAGAAGACUACCCCAAAUGCUACACAGAUCCCCGAUCGACCCCAACUGGGUCCACUACUGAUCAACUAGAACAAAACAACACAAAGGACAAGACCUUCAUCGAGCUCCUCCUUGAGCUUGGUUGCGUCACCUGCACGAUUUCAUCGGCACCUGCAAACUGGUUUUUGAAGUAUAUGUGACUCACGGGGACUUAGCAAUCUCACACCCUCGCGAUCAAGACUAUUUAAGCUUAUAGGUAAGGUAAAAAGGGUAUGAUGUGGAGCUGCAGCAAGCGAUUAGCAUUUAUGGUGGCUAACAUAUUCGCAAAAGAGAGCGAGAAGAGAAGGCAAAAGCAUGGUCGAGAAACUAUGAUCAAGAAGUGAUCCUAGAACAACCUACGUCAAGCAUAACUCCAACACCGUGUUCACUUCCCGGACUCCGUCGAGAAGGGACCAUCACGGUUACACACGCGGUUGAUGUAUUUUAGUUAAGGUCAACUUCAGGUUUUCUACAACCGGACAUUAACAAAUUCCCAUCUGCCCAUAACCACGGGCACGGCUUCCGAAAGUUCAAAUCCCUAUAGGGGUGUCCCAACUUAGCCCAUCACAAGCUCUCACGGUCAAUGAAGGAUAUUCCUUCUCCCAAGACAAUCCGAUCAGGCUCGACAUCCAGGUUACAAGACAUCCUCGACAAUGGUAAAACAAGUCCAGCAACACCGCCCGAAUGUGCCGACAAAUCCCGAUAGGAGCUGCACAUAUUUUGUUCUCAGGGCACACUCAGAUGAGACAUCCUACGAGUAAAACCAACCCCCAAGUUGCCCCGAGGUGGCCCCGCAGUCUACUCAGUCGGACCAACACUCAGAGGAGCACUGGCCCAGGUGGGUUUAAAUAAAGAUGACCCUUGAGUCUGCAGAACCCAAGGGAAAGAAAAUGCUAGGUGGCAAAUGGUAAAACCAAGGUUGGGCAUUGCUGGAGGAGUUUUAUUCAAGGCGAACUGUCAAGGGGUUCCCAUAAUAACCCAACCGCGUAAGAAACGCAAAAUCCGGGAGCAUAACACUAAUAUGACGGAAACUAGGGCGGCAAGAGUGGAACAAAACACCAGGCAUAAGGCCGAGCCUUCCACCCUUUACCAAGUAUAUAGAUGCAUUAAUUAAAUAAGAGAUAUUGUGAUAUCCCAACAAGGAACCACAUCUCCAUGUUCCAACAAGGAAGAAAUUUCAUCUUCACCUGCAACUAACAAUGCUAUAAGAGGGGCUGAGCAAACUGGUAACAUAGCCAAUCAACGGUUUGCUAGGACAAGGUGGGUUAGAGGCUUGGUUCAACAAUAUGGGAGGCAUGAUAUAGCAAGUGGUGGGUAUCGCAGCAUAGGCAUAGCAAUAGAGCGAGCAACUAGCAAGCAAAGAUAGAAGUGAUUUCGAGGGUAUGGUCAUCUUGCCUGAAAUCCCGCACGGAAGAAGAACGAGUCCAUGAAGAAGACAAAUGGACGUAGUCGAACGGGUCCUCACAAACGCGACGUUAUCGGACCCAACCCGAAGAAGCAACACCGGA
rnacentral:lncRNA from 1 species